rnacentral:rRNA from 1 species
GAUGAACGCUAGCUACAGGCUUAACACAUGCAAGUCGAGGGGAAACGAUGAGAGAGCUUGCUCUCUUAGGCGUCGACCGGCGCACGGGUGAGUAACGCGUAUCCAACCUACCCAUUACAGGGGGAUAACCUUGCGAAAGUAAGACUAAUACCCCAUGGCAUCUUAUGGUGGCAUCAUUAUAGGAUUAAAGAUUUAUUGGUAAUGGUUUGGGAUGCGUCUGAUUAGCUUGUUGGCGGGGUAACGGACCACCAAGGCAACGAUCAGUAGGGGUUCUGAGGGGAAGGUCCCCCACAUUGGAACUGGCACACGGUCCAAACUCCUACGGGAGGCAGCAGUGAGGAAUAUUGGUCAAUGGGCGAGAGCUUGAACCAGCCAAGUAGCGUGCAGGAUGACGGCCCUAUGGGUUGUAACCUGCUUUUAUAGGGGAAUAAAGUGAGCUACGUGUAGUUUAUUGCAUGUACCCUAUGAAUAAGGACCGGCUAAUUCCGUG